UGACAUUUAAAGUUUAAUCAGUAAUCUGUUCACCUUCCUUGAUUAAAAAGAAAAAAAAAGUAGGAUAAUUGGAUCGGUCGACUCAACAUUAAUUAUAAUAACUUAUUAAACUAAUUAAAAAUUAAUAAAAAACAUUUGAAGCUGUUGUCAAACCUCUUUUGUUGUCAAUCCAUGUCAUCGCCACAUAGGAUUUAACAUUUUGGUUGGAGAAUAUUAAUCUGAUUUUUUUUUGCUGUUAUAACUGAUAUGUACAUUUUGACAUCUUCUUUGAAGAUGCUCUUACCUCUAUUAGAAAGAUAAUACAAAUAGGAGAUAAAUAUAAUAUUACUCUUUAAACGAUAGAUGGAGCCUGGAGAAGAUAUUACCAAGUUGACAGGGAAAAUUACCAUAAAAAAGAAGAGGAGAACGUGACACUCCAAUAUUUCUAUCCCUUAUCAUAUGUAAAAUUACAUAUAAUACCCUUGUAUCUUCCAAGAUAAAAUUAAUAAAACACUCUUGGUUUGCUAAUUUGGUUUUAGAAGAUUCAUUCUGUUCAAACUAAAAUGCGGCAACGGCUUGUAGCUCAAAGAAUUAAAAGUGUUUAACUUUACAUACGAAGUCCUGCGUUUAAUCUUACCCUUGCAAUGUAUAUAAAAAAAUUCUAACAUAUAAUAAUAUCAUCCGAGUAACGUUCUAUGCUAAUAAUACAUAGAUAUGUGUAGAUAAAUAAAAGUGGCACCGACAUCCGUAGUCAAGAAUUUCUCCAAUAGAGUAGGCAAUGACAUUAAAUAUGUACAAUUCAAAGUAACUUUGCAGAAUGACAAAACGAAUUUCCUGAAUUAAAUUGCAGAAAACGAAGUCAGAAUUCAUGAAGAAAACAAAGAGUUAACUGAUCAUUAACAUUGUACAUAAACAUAAUAAGCAUAUUAGCAACGCCAGCAUGACAGAACCAAUAUCCUUCCCAGAAAAAGAAAAAAAAAAACCUUAAUCCAUUUAGCCAGCAACUUGAUCUGUCAACUAUACCCUUCUUGAAGCAACAUAGAAAACCAAGUACAAAGAGAGUCGGAAGAACACCAAAAUCCUCUCAAAAAUGGCAUCCGCAAAACAAGUAGAAGAAACAGAUUCUGAGCAGCAAAACCACGGCCUCGAACGCCGCCACGAUCUUGAAAACCACAUCAUCGUAAAAGGAAAGCUGCAGAUUCAGCGGCCGGAACUUGAAGGCAGACCCCAAAUACUUCCACCUCAAACUCCACGACUCUUUCUUCAUCCUCUUAAAGAACAACCACCUCUUCUUUCCCCCACCCGCCAUCUUCUGUUUCACUCUCUCUCUCUAGAUUUCCGCCCUUCUCUGCCUUCUCCUUUCUGGUUUUUUGGUUUGGGGGAUGUGGUGGUUU
rnacentral:lncRNA from 1 species